UACGGAGGGUGCAAGCGUUAUCCGGAUUCACUGGGUUUAAAGGGUGCGUAGGCGGAUAGGUAAGUCCGUGGUGAAAUCUCCCGACUUAAUCGGGAAACUGCCAUGGAUACUAUCUAUCUUGAAUGCCGUGGAGGUUAGCGGAAUAUGUCAUGUAGCGGUGAAAUGCUUAGAUAUGACAUAGAACACCAAUUGCGAAGGCAGCUGGCUACACAAAUAUUGACACUGAGGCACGAAAGCGUGGGGAUCAAACAGG
rnacentral:rRNA from 1 species